GCCUGGGUGGCUCAGUGGUUGAGCGUCUGCCUUUGGCUCAGGGCAUGAUCCCGGGGUCAUGGGAUCAAAUCCCACAUCAGGCU
rnacentral:tRNA from 1 species